UGUUGCGUCCAGUUCUGGGCCCUCAGUUCCAGAAGGACAGGGAACUGCUGGAGAGAGUCCAGCGCAGAGCCAUGAAGAUGAUUAAGGGAGUGGAGCAUCUCCCGUGUGAGGAAAGGCUGAGGGAGUUGCAGCUCUUGAGCUUGGAGGAGACUGAGGGCUGACCUCAUUAAUGUUGAUAAAUAUGUAAAGGGUGAGUGUCAGGAGGAUGAAGCCAGGCUCUUCUCAGUGGCAACCAAUGGUAGGACGAUGGACAAUGGGUCCAAACUGGAACACAGGAGGAUCCAUUUAAAUUUGAGAAGAAACUUCUUCAUGGUGAGGGUGCCAGAGCCUGGCCCAGACUGCCCAGGGGGGUUGUGGAGUCUCCUUCUCUGCAGACAUUCCAACCCGCCUGGACACCUUCCUGUGUAACCUCAUCUGGGUGUUCCUGCUCCAUGGCGGGAUUGCACUGGAUGAGCUUUCGAGGUCCCUUCCAAUCCUUAACAUUCUGUGAUUGGACCAGAUGGUUUCCAGAGGUCCCUUCAAACCCCAACCAGUCUGUGAUUCUGUCUUAAGUGGCCCCUGGAAGCCUUUAUCCAAGGGCUUUGAAAGGGAGAAAAGAGGUGUAGGUCAGAUUGAUGGGGGAUGUCUGGGCCAAUUACUGUUGUUUUCCUCACUGUGUGUUAUAGAGUAGCUGGAAUGUGGGGGACAGGUUUCUUCAGUAGGAAGGGGCACACAGCUGAGGGAAAUCAAACACAACUACCCUGAAAUAACCUGAGCUUGGCAAUUAAUGUGCAUCUGUAGCAAGAAGACUUUACAUCCUCAUGGGUGGAGAGGCGUGUUUAACCCUCAGAUCUCUCACAUCCAGAAUGUGGAAGUUAAAGCACAGAAGGAUGAAGUUGUUCCAGGUCAUCCAACAGAGCAAUGGUAGAGAGAAAAAUAGAACCAAGUCCUUCAGUGCUCACUGUGAUGCAUCGCUCUGUCUUCCUGUUUUGAUGAAAAAGUCUGAAAUGUAAUUUUCAUAGGUAAGAGGACAAUAACUAGGAGACAUGACUGUCCCUGAAGGCACUUCUUCAUCAAAUCUGGGUUUAUAGCUUGAUUUCUUCGUUUGUUAUAUACAGUGUGUUGAUAAAAUUCUUACCCCAACAACCUGUGUCUGCUUUAUCUAUU